rnacentral:rRNA from 1 species
AGAGUUUGAUCAUGGCUCACGAACGAACGCUGGCGGCGUGGCUAAGGCAUGCAAGUCGAACGGACCCCUGGAUGGGUAACUUGAAAGGGAGUCAGUGGCGAACGGGUGAGUAAUGAAUGGGUAACGUCCCCCGGACUCAGGGAUAGCGGCGGGCCGCAAGGUCCUUCGCGAAAGUGUCGGCAACACCUGAUGAUCCCGCGUGAUCGCAUGAUCGUGCGGGCAAAGCUCCGGCGGUCUGGGUUCGGCCCAUUUCCUAUCAGCUAGUUGGUGAGGUAACGGCUCACCAAGGCUGCGACGGGUACCGGGUGUGAGAGCAUGACCCGGCACAUCGGAACUGAGACACGGUCCGGACACCUACGGGUGGCUGCAGCAACGAAUAUUCCGCAAUGGGCGAAAGCCUGACGGAGCGACGCCGCGUGCAGGAUGAAGUCCUUCGGGAUGUAAACUGCUGUCGGGGGUCAAGAAAUCACUGAUCAAGCCCCACAGGAAGCCAUGGCUAACUCUGUGCCAGCAGCCGCGGUAAUACAGAGAUGGCAAGCGUUGUUCGGAAUCACUGGGCUUAAAGCGCGUGUAGGCGGAGCCGAAAGCGCCUUGUGAAAUCCCCGGCUCAACCCGGGAACUGCUUGGCGAACCGCGCUCUUGAGGCAGGUAGAGGUAACUGGACCAUUGUGGAGCGGUGAAAUGCGUAAAGAUCAAUGGGAACGCCGGUGGCGAAAGCGAGUUACUGGGCCUGUUCUGACGCUGAGACGCGAAAGCGURGGUAGCAAACAGGAUUAGAUACCCUGGUAGUCCACGCCGUAAACGAUGCGCACUAGGUAUGAGAGUCUGAACGCACCUCGUGCCGAAACAAAAGCGUUAAGUGCGCCGCCUGGGGAGUACGGCCGCAAGGCUAAAACUCAAAAGAAUUGACGGGGGCUCACACAAGCGGUGGAGCAUGUGGAUUAAUUCGAAGCAACGCGCAGAACCUUACCUGGGUUUGACAUGUACGGAUGCCGUCCAUGAAAGUGGAGCCGGUUGCCUUCGGGUGAAACGUGCACAGGUGCUGCAUGGCUGUCGUCAGCUCGUGCUGUGAAGUGUCGGGUUAAGUCCCUUAACGGAGCGAAACCCCUAUCGUUAGUUGCCAGCGGUUCGACCGGGAACUCUAACGAGACCGCCGGCGUUAAGCCGGAGGAAGGCGGGGACGACGUCAAGUCAUCAUGGCCUUUAUGCCCAUGGUUUCACACGUGCUACAAUGGCCGAGACAAAGCGAAGCGAGACCGUGAGGUGGAGCAAAUCGCAUAAAAUCGGCCUCAGUUCGGAUUGGAGUCUGCAACCCGACUCCAUGAAGUUGGAAUCGCUAGUAAUCGCGGAUCAGCAACGCCGCGGUGAAUGUGUUCCUGAGCCUUGUACACACCGCCUGUCAAGUCAUGGGAGCUGGGAGCACCCGAAGUCCGUUUAGCUAACCGAAAGGAUGCGGCGGCCGACGGUGAGCUCGGUGACUGGGACUAAGUCGUAACAAGGUAGCCGUA